AGAUAAGUCAGCAAUCGCCUUUUAUAAGUGAAACUUGUCACUGAACAUUUCACAUACUAUCCGUUGUAAUUGAGCUUAUAGGAUUAAACAUGAAGAUCGCCAUAAUUUUAGUUGCGUGCAUGAUUGGUGAGUUUAAAACUAUACUCUGGUAGUUGUACGGCAAUAUCUUAAGUAUUGUCCUAACAUGUACGUAUAUUGUAUUACAUUAUAGAUACCUGUAUGCACAGACAUAUGUUUUCUUAUCUUAAAGAUAGGCAAAGGUUUCGUGAUUUCCUCUCUCAAUUAAUAUUCUUAGUUACACAAAAAGACAAUGUUAAGAUUCGCUUUCACAAGUUUAUUGUUUAAUGUUAAAUAAAAAUGAAAAGUGUUCUCCCUUUUAAUGCAAGAUUGCACAACAAUUAAAGUAUCUAUCAUAUUAUUACAGACUCACUUGUGUAGAUAGAUAGAUAGUUUACUCUCAUAAAGCCAUACACGUACAAAGGUUACAGAGAAGUUAAAACGUAAUAUACAUAAAGCUUAAUAUGUAGCUGUAGUUUGCAUCACUUGCUUAAAGACGGUUUAAAAAUAAUGCCGACGUUUGUCUAGUGCAUAUCUUAUUGUAAUUGGAACUUUCGAAGGAGGGUUGUCUGCACAUCACCUAUCAUGAGGCUCUGUUUUUCACGCCAUGUCUGCGAGGUUCUCUGAAUGUUUACGCUUUAGUGUAAUUGUCAUGCUAAAUUAUGACCGUAAAUAUUUUCUUUCUUUGACAAAGAAUUUAUUUUUACAUUAUUCCAUGGCUUUUCCCUUCAUUCAUACCUCUAGCGUGAUAAUCAGUUUGCAAUGAAUUCCGCUCAAAAUGGAGCUAGGGGUUGAAUUAAACUUAAAUCAAGAUUAGUGGUUUAAGGCCCUACCUUGACCUAUAAUGGUUUACUUUUAUAAAUUGUUAUUUGGAUGGAGAGUUGUCACAUUGACACUCAUACCACAUUUUGCUAUAUCUAUUUUGCUCCAUGUUGAAGGCCUAAAACAUGUAAAUAUGAUAUAAAUAACAGCAGCACAAACGCUUUUUAUUUGAUUCUUUUGUUUUUUGCUGUGCUUUUAUUGAUUUUGUGUCAUAGAUGAAUUUCCCAUAUCAUUUUUUAUCUGUUAUUGGAAUUAAAGAUUCCGAAAUAAUAAAUUGUAGUCAAUUUAUCCAUAAAAAAAAUCGUUACGCUGAUUGCAACCAUAAACUUCUACGUACAAAAUUUACAUUUUAGCAAUCGUUGCCGGAGAGACAUGUACUGGCAACUCAAACUUGAAUUCUGAAUGCUCACAUCUCAACUGUGAUGGUGGCUGGCAUUUGGCAUGUGUAAACACCCAAUGUACAUGUGUUGAAAACACAGCUCACAGUAAGUGCACGUUUUAAAUUUUAUCCUAGAAGCUAGAAAAAUCUACCUUUGUGAUGAUAAAUUGUUGUAGAUACACAUACACUUUGAAAAAGACCCCUGCAUCCUCUUCGAGUACAUCUUUAUUCGACAUAAAUCAAAACGACAAGGCUAGAGAAAAGACCUGAGUACGAUAUAAAACAAAUAAAAGGAUGAGUUAUUGUUUUUUUUUUCUGUUGUUUUCAGUUCUAAAUCGGCACCACAACAUCCCAUCUGAAUCAAUACGUUCAGGAUAUAUAUCCAGAAGAGUAGUUCAGACUAUUAUAUUUAGUACCCUUGUUUUAACAUUGAACUCUGAAGGGUUGCCAGUCUUAUUAUGCAUCCUUAUCGAUCCUGAAAGUCAUGUUUACCUGAUUGUAAUAAGCUAACUAACAUGUAUUGAAAUAUUGGUAAUAUUUUGAUGCUUUGGCCUUGGAGAUUAGAUAUUCACAGAAUUGUUAGGCGCCAAAACGUUGAAGUUCGCUAACUGUCUUUCAAUGAAUAUGAUCGAAAUUGAUAUAACUCAUACACGUUAGGGGAAUGCAUGCCCCUACUCAAAUAGAUAUAUUCGUAUGGCGUUAGUUUGAAUAAUUUGUUAUGGUUAAUAAAAAGGUUCAGUUAGAUGUGUAUGAUAAAGAGAUUCAGACAAAUAAUUUUCAAUGUUAUUCCCGAUACUAAAAUAGCAAGCAGCUUACAACAUCGAUCUGACCUGCAUUACUCGGUAUGGUAGCAGCAUGUUUUAGCAAAUAGUGAGUAAACUAUAAAACAAACGAGGUUCUUCAUAGGGGCUUCUUUAUUCUUAUCCAGGGUUAUUCAUAAAUGAAAUAUGUACAUGUAUAUAUAAAAAUUGUAAUUUAGUUAGAAAUUGUGUAUUUUAAAAAUGUUUUACUUAAAUGCUAUAUUUAUCAUUUUAGCCUGUACUUCAAAAGCUGAAUGUGAUGCCGUAAACUCCUGGGACUGCCCCAAUCGUCGUCGUCAUUGUGUUGAUGGCACUUGCAGAUGUACCAGAUUUUAAUUGUACUUGUAAUAAAAAUGGCAAGUUAGUAUUUUCUGUUGUUGUUUUUUAUUUACUGUACAAUAUGCGGAAAUAUCAUGAAAAUAUGAUAAGAAUAAUUUUCAAGGGUUUAGCCUUAAAUUCUUCCGUACUAUUUAAGCAACCAACACAUGCAAAGAUAUAACCAGUAUUCUUAGCUGGGAGUGGGAUGUUUUUCUCGGAGAAUGAGGUCUGCAAUUAAUAGAAUGACGUUUUCUAUUGUAUAUAAAUUAGAUAAGAUGUGUGAUACUGAUACACACACGACAAUGAAACAAAAAUCUUACGACGCACACACUAGACAAAUGAGAUCCACUUUGACCGUCUUUGACAACAGAUAUAUAUCUAUACAAAAUAUAAAUGUUUUAGUCUGUCCCGCUUCAGGUUUAAGUUUUUGGUCAAGGUAGUUUUUGGUGAAGUUGAAGUCCAAUCAACUUGAAACUUAGUACAUAUGUUCCCUGUGAUAUGAUCUUUCUAAUUGUAAUGCCAAAUUAGAGUUUUAUCCUAAUUUCACGGUCUACUGAACACAGAAAAUGAUAGUGCGAGUGGACACAUUCUUGUUAUGCCAUUGACCUAAUAUUGUGUUUAUACUGCAACUUACUUUUAAAUCGUAACACAAAUGUCAAACUAAUUUUCAUCCCCUAAUCACCCCGUAUAACCCCGAUACAAAUGAAUCCGGACGUUGACGCGUUCGAAGCGAUAAUCAGGACAACAUUUGGGAUGACAACAAUUUCGAAUGCCUCUCUAGAACAUAUUUGAGUAUAAAUAAAUAUGUCAAUGUGCAAGUUAGUUUAUUUAUUCAAUUAUACAGUUGUUGUAAGUUUUAGAUAUUGCUUAGAACGUUUGAUAAAACUGCUAGAUGCAAAACGCACAUACAUGGUGCAAUUUCAUACGUUUUAUGAGAUAAACAAUGCUAAAUAAUAAUAAUAAUAAUAAUAAUAAUAUCUUUAUUUAGAGAGAGUAACUCAUUUGGAUUACACCAAUUUUCAAUAAGGCUCUCUUAAUACAAUAAUAAUUACAUUACAAAUAAACAAUGCAUCAAUAAUAAUGGUAAAUAAAGAUUAUGUACAAUUUAAAAUACAAUAAACAAUUAUGAUAUGGCAUUACAGUAAAAAUAUGAUGGUAAUGUUAAAAGUACAUAGAUUUGUAUUUAUGUUUAAAUUCGGAUACUGUAUUUGAUUUUUUUUAUUGAAUUAGGAAGAGCAUUCCACACUUUUGGUCCAUUGUACGAGAAAACUAGACUUAUACAACUCUGUAUUUGGUUUUGGAAUAAUAAAAUUAUCUGAG
rnacentral:lncRNA from 1 species